GAAGGCUGAAAUUCGCCUUCAUGAAGUCGGAAUUGCUAGUAAUGGCAGGUCAGCAUACUGCCGUGAAUACGUUCCCGGGCCUUGUACACACCGCCCGUCACACCAUGAGAGUUGGAGAUACCCGAAGCCUAUGAGCUAACUUUUAGAGGCAGUAGUCGAAGGUAGAAUCAAUGAUUGGGGUGAAGUCGUAACAAGGUACC
rnacentral:rRNA from 1 species